UACAGAGGUCUCGAGCGUUAGGCGGAAUCACUGGGCUUAAAGCGUGUGUAGGCGGAUCGGUAAGUACCUUGUGAAAUCCCACAGCUUAACUGUGGAACUGCUUGGUAUACUGCCAGUCUUGAGCCAGCUAGGGGCUACCGGAACAAAUGGUGGAGCGGUGAAAUGCGUAGAUAUCAGGAAGAACACCAAUGGCGAAAGCAGCUUUCUGGGACGGUACUGACGCUGAGACGCGAAAGCGUGGGGAGCGAACGGG
rnacentral:rRNA from 1 species